ACCAGGAUGGCCGAGUGGUUAAGGCGUUGGACUUAAGUUCCAAUGUACGAUGUACGCGUGGGUUUGAACCCCACUCCUGGUA
rnacentral:tRNA from 2 species